GUGACGGGGAGUUGCGCCACAGUAUAAAUUGCAAAAACCUAUCUGAUUUAGAAAUCCGAAAACAUCUGAAUAUUUUACAAAUGUCUCCAGUUAAGGCCUCUAAAAAGUUCGAGUAUUGUUUGCUUUUCCUAUAUUGUACGCCCUGCCAUUAAAAUUUUACUGGGAGUGCGGCCUGAUUCCCUUGACAGCAAAUCCAUCAAAAAAUACUCUAAGCUCAGUACUUGUGAUCUCCACUUCCAGAACGCAAUGGUGAAGCAGAAACACUUGCAAUGAUUAACCAAAUUUUUAAGUUGCAGAUGCCGCUUAAGCUUUCGUUUAAGAUAAAAGAAACCUAUAGUGUGCUUGUUGGUAAGAAUCGUCGUUUAUUUGAGAGAUAAACAAAUCAGUUGGGGGGUGGACCAGCAAGAAAAGAUCUGGCCUCCGAACCAAAAGACCUGGGUUCAAAUCCCAGGCUACCCCACGAAAAAGAAACGGCUCUUUUUCCAAAGAGCUCCAUCAAUUCUAUGCUCAAUUCUACCUCGCACUAAACAAUAAUAACACAAAUUCGGCUCCCCGGACACGUUACUAUGGACACGACAAUAAAACUUUGACCACUCCUGGAUGGCGUUAUGUGGCAGCCCCACCAGUCAGAUAAAGUGCUUCUGGUUAAUCACCAGUUCGACCGAAAAAACCAAAGAUUACUGAAUCCACUACAAGUUGUAUAAUCUCUAUACUCCCAGUUGGAGUGAUAAAGGAAAAUUUGAACAAACGUUGUCUUGGACGCAGUGUCCGGAACGCUUUUCUCCUUCCAUAAUAAAAUCUGUUCUUUCCCUAUCAGUCUGCGUAGCCUGCAUGGUGAUUAAGGCUGAGUGAUUUAAUUGGGUUCAAGUUGCCCAGUCCACAAACUGAAGCGGCAGACUUUGUGGACUUCCUUUAAAGCUGCAGUUAAUGAAAACUCCGACAGUGAUCGCAUGAUAUGAAAUCAAAGAAAGAUAUAGAACGGAAAUAAAAACAAAACGGGAAGCAGCAGCAGCUGCAAAGGAAGCACAGAUAAAAUUUAAGAAAGAGUGGUGUUCUGUUUAAUGUUUCGGAUCCUGCUUGUUUUUCCCCUUGUCCAACCUAAGUACACUAACAUCCUAUUUUGGAGAGCUUGAUUAUUAAACACACUUUAAUUAGCUCAAAUAAAAAGAACCUUUAAAU